AGCAGGUAGAGUUGACAAGAUAAGAGGACUGUGGUCUGAACCAAUGGCUGGUAAAGCUGUAACUUCAGCAUUCGGGUAAAAGCGCACCCUUUGGCUUCCAAGUCCAUUAGUGAACAUGCAUAUAAGAAGUCCCUGAAUGCGCUUCUUUGAGGUUUUCAUCAUGAAGGGUGAGCAUAGAUUCAGCAUCCAAG